rnacentral:miRNA from 1 species
CCUCUCGACUGUGAUGGAUCU